GUUUUCAGUCUGUGGGACAAAUCUUGUAUGCAUUUUGUGCCCCGGCUUUCAACUUCUUGAAGCUGCAGCUCUGACGUUGAGCAGCAUCUUUUACAAUCCUUUUUGUUUUUUCUUUCUCCUGAUGGAUUUUCCCUUGAACUUUUAUUCAACUGUGUCUACUUUACAAGGUAACCAUAACUGCUCUGUUUCGUUUUCUUAGUUAAGGAAGAAAGACUAUGGAUUUAUGGGUAGUUGCAGCAACUGCUGGUGUUGGAUAUGUAGCUAAAGCUAAUUACUUGAAGAAUUCUACAUCAAGAAUAACAGAGAGCUCAUUGAAAACUUGUUCUUUUGAGGUUCACAAUCACAGUCACAGCCACUCCCAUCCCUGGAACUUACUGCAGCAAAUUCGUGACAGAACUUGCCCCUUAUGCAGACUUCCCUCCCUUAAAGAAACAGCAACAAAUUUUCCUUUACAGAGAGAUUAUACAAGAGCUACAGGUCGAAGCAUUACUGAUGGUGAACUGCUGUUACAGAAUUAUGGGAAUAAUAAAAGGAGGAAUGACGGCUUCAACUUGUCUAAUGAAUCAUUACCUGAAUUUCUAAUAGAAGAAGUGGGUUCUUUUCAAAGAUUACCAAAAGAUAGGCAACAAAAAGGAAGUUCUAAUGGGUAUAUCAUGAAACAACAUAAUUUUUUGAAGUGUUAUCAUGCUGCUGAAUUGUACAGGGAGCAAAGCAGAUCAGAAGAGUAUGUGUAUAAUCCACUUCCAUCAGCAGAAACAUAUCUGAUAACCAGAGGUAGCCAUGCUACUGGAAAGGAGAUGGAUUUAGAAACACAAACUCAACAGUUGAUUCCAAGAAAAUCGAAGCAGCAUAUUGGAAUGGGACAGACUAGAUUGAGCAGGUCAAGUAGAAGUCUUCGAGGGUCUUCCAGUGAUGGUAUGCUUUUUUUGUUCCUUGGGAUAACCAUGGGCAUGAUGUCAAACAUUGGUGACAACAGCAGAGAAAUAGACAAAUUAUGUGAACUGCUGAAGCAGACUGAGAACUUGGUUCAUGAAUUGCAUUCGGAACUCGAAACGAAAGAUCAGUUAACUUGGAAAGAGCUUGCCAACGCCAAUGAGGGCUCCAAAUCCAAUGAACAUUCCUCCUGUAGCACACCUACUGCAUCUUCCAAAAACCAGGAACCAGAUAAAUAUACAAAAUUUGACAGCAGAGAACUACAGGAUGAGAAGAUGAAGAACUCUGAAGCAAUGAGUAAAAUUGAGGCAGAGCUUGAAGCUGAACUAGAGAGAUUGGAACUAACCAUGAAAAGAAGUAGCAUGGGGAGUAUUUUUCAGGUAACAUCAUUAGAUCAGAUGACACACCAUGGCUGUGAUUGUAAGACUUUAUUUAUCUGUCCAUGAGAUGAACUAGAUUGAUCUGCUUUUAUUAUUGCUUACAGAAGGAUUCUAACUUUGAAGAUUUUGAUCCAGACAAGGCCAAUGAGAAACCUUACAAUUUAUCUGAAUCAGACCAUGAUAUAAGUGGAACCUCCUCUGCUCACACUCAAACAGCAAGCGGUGUUCUUUCACCUCAGGAGCUGAGCUUGCGUCUUCACAAGGUAAUUGAAUCAAGACUCAGAGCACGCAUUAUAGAACUAGAGGCAGCACUUGAAAAUACACAGAAGAGGCUGCAUGCCAUUGUCUUGGAAUCUGAUAGCAGCAUAGUUCCUUCAAGGGACUUGUAUGGGAAAGAGAAACCAUCAUCUACACAGGUUGGCAUAAACUUCACAGAUCUAGUUAGUGACAUAGAUGAAGCUUCAUACGAGUAUAGUGAAGGUUAUGAGGAGAGUAUUAAGAGUGGGGAAGCAGAUGAAGAAGCUACUCCCUAGACAUUAAAUAUGGCAUUUAUAAAUGAGAAACAGAUGCAUUCUUUAGACAAGUAGCCAAUGAAGAAGGAAGAGGUUCAAUUGAUGGAGUUAAGAGCCUGAACCGUCAAGACAACCUAUAUCAAAGCUCGAGUUUCAAUUUGAGAAGAGGAAGUUGACAGAAGACGACGUAAGGGAGUUAAUCUAUAGAGAGAUUUUGGAGUACCAUCCUGAGAUGCUUAAAGAGUACCUUCAGGGAGCAGAUCAGACUCACUUUGUGUAUCCAAGGUCAGACACUCAAGUAUCAUUUCUUAAUAGUGUGAUAAAGAACAAAGAAUAUUAGAGACAAAGGAGAACAUAGAAUGAUGUUGAACUGUGCCUGCCAAGUCUCUAUAUUCAAUAUUGCUAUUGUAAUUCUUAUAAAGAAUAAUUAUAUAUAAUCAUUAAUUUAUGUUCCAAGGAAUCAACGAUGUCAAAACUCACUGCAUAAAAUUGUUCUUCAUUUGAAACAUCAGCAAUAUUACGUACGGAGAUGAGUAAUUAUUCAGUUUUCUUAUGGAGAUCAUAUUACUAUAUACAUUUGUUCAUUUACUGCACUGCUGUUAGUUACUGUGUUAUGCUUCCUUUGUCAAGAUGAAAAGAAUGUUCUUGCAGACCUGCUUCAGAUUUAUGAACCUUAUUAAAUAAUGUGUCUUGGUUGAAGUGGAGACGUGCCAC
rnacentral:misc_RNA from 1 species